rnacentral:rRNA from 1 species
ACGCUGGCGGUAGGCUUAACACAUGCAAGUCGUGCGAGAAAGUAUCUUCGGAUAUGAGUAGAGCGGCGGACGGGUGAGUAACGCGUAGGAAUCUACCUAGUAGAAGGGGAUAGCCCGGGGAAACCCGGAUUAAUACCGUAUACCUCCUUUGGGAGAAAGAAGGCCUCUCUUUGAAGCUUUCGCUACUAGAUGAGCCUGCGUAAGAUUAGCUUGUUGGUGAGGUAAAGGCUCACCAAGGCGACGAUCUUUAGCUGGUCUGAGAGGACGAUCAGCCACAUUGGGACUGAGACACGGCCCAGACUCCUACGGGAGGCAGCAGUGGGGAAUAUUGGACAAUGGGCGCAAGCCUGAUCCAGCCAUACCGCGUGUGUGAAGAAGGCCUUCGGGUUGUAAAGCACUUUAAGCAGGGAGAAAAAGUUAUAAGUUAAUACCUUAUAACCCUGAUGUUACCUGCAGAAUAAGCACCGGCUAAUUCCGUGCCAGCAGCCGCGGUAAUACGGAAGGUGCAAGCGUUAAUCGGAAUUACUGGGCGUAAAGCGCGCGUAGGUGGUUUGUUAAGUUGGAUGUGAAAGCCCUGGGCUCAACCUAGGAACUGCAUCCAAAACUAACUCACUAGAGUACGAUAGAGGGAGGUAGAAUUCAUAGUGUAGCGGUGGAAUGCGUAGAUAUUAUGAAGAAUACCAGUGGCGAAGGCGGCCUCCUGGAUCUGUACUGACACUGAGGUGCGAAAGCGUGGGUAGCGAACAGGAUUAGAUACCCUGGUAGUCCACGCCGUAAACGAUGACAACUAGCUGUUGGGAGACAAUGUC